GAUGAACGCUGGCGGCGUGCCUAAUACAUGCAAGUCGAGCGAACAGACGAGGAGCUUGCUCCUCUGACGUUAGCGGCGGACGGGUGAGUAACACGUGGAUAACCUACCUAUAAGACUGGGAUAACUUCGGGAAACCGGAGCUAAUACCGGAUAAUAUAUUGAACCGCAUGGUUCAAUAGUGAAAGACGGUUUUGCUGUCACUUAUAGAUGGAUCCGCGCCGCAUUAGCUAGUUGGUAAGGUAACGGCUUACCAAGGCAACGAUGCGUAGCCGACCUGAGAGGGUGAACGGCCACACUGGAACUGAGACACGGUCCAGACUCAUAAGGGAGGCAGCAGUAGGGAAUCUUCCGCAAAGGGCGAAAGCCUGAAGGAGCAACGCCGCGUGAGUGAUGAAGGUCUUCGGAUCGUAAAACUCUGUUAUUAGGGAAGAACAAAUGUGUAAGUAACUAUGCACGUCUUGACGGUACCUAAUCAGAAAGCCACGGCUAACUACGUG
rnacentral:rRNA from 1 species